rnacentral:rRNA from 1 species
GAUCAUGGCUCAGAUUGAACGCUGGCGGCGUGCUUAACACAUGCAAGUCGAGCGCGAAAGUGGCUUCGGCCACGAGUAGAGUGGCGCACGGGUGAGUAACGCGUGGAUAAUCUGCCUCUGCAAUCGGAAUAACGACUGGAAACGGUCGCUAAUACCGGAUACGCUUAAGUUUUACCUCUUAAGGAAAGAUGACCUCUAUUUAUAAGUUAUCGUGCAGAGAUGAGUCCGCGUCCCAUUAG